UUAAGGAGGUUUAAAUUCAAAGUGACUGGCUGGCUACUUUGGGGUAGUAGAAAGGGGAAAUGAGAGGGGUGUCUUUCUGUCUCAAUCUGUGUGUUUGCACGUCCGUGUCGGGGCAUUAGUUUAUGUAAGUAGUGUAAUCCAUGUAACUAUGGUAGGGUUACAGUGCAUGGUAGCUGGGGUUUAUUAUCGGUCCUUGUUUUACAGACAUUUGAACAUACGAGAGCAGUAACCAUGAUGGCGUUUUGUGUUGAUUGAUUCGAAGGGUCUAAUAAAAUACGUCAGGAUGGCCGAGCGGUCUAAGGCGCUGCGUUCAGGUCGCAGUCUCCUCUGGUGGCGUGGGUUAGAAUGCCACUUCUGACAUUACAUUUGGAUUUCGUUGAUUGUGAUUAUCUGUUCAAACUUUGUAAUACGGAGAACAUUUGGAAAAGUUAAGGAGGUUUAAAUUCAAAGUGACUGGCUGGCUACUUUGGGGUAGUAGAAAGGGGAAAUGAGAGGGGUGUCUUUCUGUCUCAAUCUGUGUGUUUGCACGUCCGUGUCGGUGCAUUAGUUUAUGUAAGUAGUGUAAUCCAUGCAACUAAGCUAACGUUACAGCGCAUGGUAGCUGGGGUUUAUUAUCGGUCCUUGUUGUACGGACAUUUGAACAUACGAGAACAGUAACCAUGAUGGCGUUUUGUGUUCAUUGAUUCGAAGGGUGUGUUGAAAUACGUCAGGAUUGCCGAGCGGUCUAAGGCGCUGCGUUCAGGUCGCAGUCUCCUCUGGAGGCGUGGGUUCGAAUCCCACAUCUGACAUUACAUUUGGAUUUCGUUGAUUGUGAUUAUCUGUUCAAACUUUGUAAUAUGGAGAACAUUUGGAAAAAGUAAGGAGGUUUAAACUCAAAGUGACUGGCUGGCUACUUUGGGGUAGUAGAAAGGGGAAAUGAGAGGGGUGUCUUUCUGUCUCAAUCUGUGUGUUUGCACGUCCG
ensembl:lncRNA